rnacentral:siRNA from 1 species
UAUAGGGGUCAUUAUACACAUCA